GGAAACCCAGGGAGAAACCUCUAUCACACCAUUGGUUGCUAGGGCUAAAUCAGCUAAUCUGGCUGGCUAACUGGAUGUCCCCUUUCAUCUAAUGGGACUCUGCUUCAUCUAAGACGAUGCCCUUCUAGGAAUAUGGGAGGAUCAGUCUUCAAUAAAAGAUAUUUAACUAGCUACACUACCCUGCUAGAACCUCCAAACAAGCUUUUAGAUAAGAACAAUUACAACAAAGGCAGAACAAAUAGAAAACAAACUUACUGAAUUU
ensembl:misc_RNA 7SK 7SK RNA